GACGAACGCUGGCGGCGUGCCUAAUACAUGCAAGUAGAACGCUGACGGAGGAGCUUGCUUCUCUGGAUGAGUUGCGAACGGGUGAGUAACGCGUAGGUAACCUGCCUGGUAGCGGGGGAUAACUAUUGGAAACGAUAGCUAAUACCGCAUAAUAGUAGAUGUUGCAUGACAUUUGCUUAAACGGUGCAAUUGCAUCACUACCAGAUGGACCUGCGUUGUAUUAGCUAGUUGGUGGGGUAACGGCUCACCCAGGCGACGAUACAUAGCCGGCCUGGGAGGGUGAUCGGCCACACUGGGACUGAGACACGGCCCAGACUCCUACGGGAGGCAGCAGUAGGGAAUCUUCGGCAAUGGACGGAAGUCUGACCGAGCAACGCCGCGUGAGUUAAGAAGGUUUUCGGAUCGUAAAGCUCUGUUGUAAGAGAAGAACGAGUGUGAGGGUGGAAAGUUCACGCUGUGACGGUAUCUUACCAGAAAGGGACGGCUAACUACGUG
rnacentral:rRNA from 1 species